UAAGUUAGAAAGGGCGCACGGUGGAUGCCUUGACACUAGGAGUCGAUGAAGGACGGGACUAACGCCGAUAUGCUUCGGGGAGCUGUAAGUAAGCUUUGAUCCGAAGAUUUCCGAAUGGGGAAACCCACCAUACGUAAUGGUAUGGUAUCCUUAUCUGAAUACAUAGGAUAAGGAAGACAGACCCAGGGAACUGAAACAUCUAAGUACCUGGAGGAAGAGAAAGCAAAUGCGAUUUCCUGAGUAGCGGCGAGCGAAACGGAACAUAGCCCAAACCAAGAGGCUUGCCUCUUGGGGUUGUAGGACAUUCUAUACGGAGUUACAAAGGAACGAGGUAGACGAAGCGACCUGGAAAGGUCCGUCGUAGAGGGUAACAACCCCGUAGUCGAAACUUCGUUCUCUCUUGAAUGUAUCCUGAGUACGGCGGAACACGUGAAAUUCCGUCGGAAUCUGGGAGGACCAUCUCCCAAGGCUAAAUACUCCCUAGUGAUCGAUAGUGAACCAGUACCGUGAGGGAAAGGUGAAAAGCACCCCGGAAGGGGAGUGAAAGAGAUCCUGAAACCGUGUGCCUACAAAUAGUCAGAGCCCGUUAACGGGUGAUGGCGUGCCUUUUGUAGAAUGAACCGGCGAGUUACGAUCCCGUGCGAGGUUAAGCUGAAGAGGCGGAGCCGCAGCGAAAGCGAGUCUGAAUAGGGCGUUUAGUACGUGGUCGUAGACCCGAAACCAGGUGAUCUACCCAUGUCCAGGGUGAAGUUCAGGUAACACUGAAUGGAGGCCCGAACCCACGCACGUUGAAAAGUGCGGGGAUGAGGUGUGGGUAGCGGAGAAAUUCCAAUCGAACCUGGAGAUAGCUGGUUCUCCCCGAAAUAGCUUUAGGGCUAGCCUUAAGUGUAAGAGUCUUGGAGGUAGAGCACUGAUUGGACUAGGGGUCCUCAUCGGAUUACCGAAUUCAGUCAAACUCCGAAUGCCAAUGACUUAUCCUUAGGAGUCAGACUGCGAGUGAUAAGAUCCGUAGUCAAAAGGGAAACAGCCCAGACCGCCAGCUAAGGUCCCAAAGUGUGUAUUAAGUGGAAAAGGAUGUGGAGUUGCUUAGACAACUAGGAUGUUGGCUUAGAAGCAGCCACCAUUUAAAGAGUGCGUAAUAGCUCACUAGUCGAGUGACUCUGCGCCGAAAAUGUACCGGGGCUAAAUACACCACCGAAGCUGCGGAUUGAUACCAAUGGUAUCAGUGGUAGGGGAGCGUUCUAAGGACAGUGAAGUCAGACCGGAAGGACUGGUGGAGUGCUUAGAAGUGAGAAUGCCGGUAUGAGUAGCGAAAGACGGGUGAGAAUCCCGUCCACCGAAUGCCUAAGGUUUCCUGAGGAAGGCUCGUCCGCUCAGGGUUAGUCAGGACCUAAGCCGAGGCCGACAGGCGUAGGCGAUGGACAACAGGUUGAUAUUCCUGUACCACCUCUUUAUCGUUUGAGCAAUGGAGGGACGCAGAAGGAUAGAAGAAGCGUGCGAUUGGUUGUGCACGUCCAAGCAGUUAGGCUGAUAAGUAGGCAAAUCCGCUUAUCGUGAAGGCUGAGCUGUGAUGGGGAAGCUCCUUAUGGAGCGAAGUCUUUGAUUCCCCGCUGCCAAGAAAAGCUUCUAGCGAGAUAAAAGGUGCCUGUACCGCAAACCGACACAGGUAGGCGAGGAGAGAAUCCUAAGGUGUGCGAGAGAACUCUGGUUAAGGAACUCGGCAAAAUGACCCCGUAACUUCGGGAGAAGGGGUGCUUUCUUAACGGAAAGCCGCAGUGAAUAGGCCCAAGCGACUGUUUAGCAAAAACACAGCUCUCUGCGAAGCCGUAAGGCGAAGUAUAGGGGGUGACACCUGCCCGGUGCUGGAAGGUUAAGGAGAGGGGUUAGCGUAAGCGAAGCUCUGAACUGAAGCCCCAGUAAACGGCGGCCGUAACUAUAACGGUCCUAAGGUAGCGAAAUUCCUUGUCGGGUAAGUUCCGACCCGCACGAAAGGUGUAACGAUUUGGGCACUGUCUCAACCAGAGACUCGGUGAAAUUAUAGUACCUGUGAAGAUGCAGGUUACCCGCGACAGGACGGAAAGACCCCGUGGAGCUUUACUGUAGCCUGAUAUUGAAUUUUGGUACAGUUUGUACAGGAUAGGCGGGAGCCUUUGAAACCGGAGCGCUAGCUUCGGUGGAGGCGCUGGUGGGAUACCGCCCUGACUGUAUUGAAAUUCUAACCUACGGGUCUUAUCGACCCGGGAGACAGUGUCAGGUGGGCAGUUUGACUGGGGCGGUCGCCUCCUAAAGUGUAACGGAGGCGCCCAAAGGUUCCCUCAGAAUGGUUGGAAAUCAUUCGUAGAGUGCAAAGGCAUAAGGGAGCUUGACUGCGAGACCUACAAGUCGAGCAGGGACGAAAGUCGGGCUUAGUGAUCCGGUGGUUCCGCAUGGAAGGGCCAUCGCUCAACGGAUAAAAGCUACCCCGGGGAUAACAGGCUUAUCUCCCCCAAGAGUCCACAUCGACGGGGAGGUUUGGCACCUCGAUGUCGGCUCAUCGCAUCCUGGGGCUGUAGUCGGUCCCAAGGGUUGGGCUGUUCGCCCAUUAAAGCGGUACGCGAGCUGGGUUCAGAACGUCGUGAGACAGUUCGGUCCCUAUCCGUCGUGGGCGUAGGAAUUUUGAGAGGAGCUGUCCUUAGUACGAGAGGACCGGGAUGGACGCACCGCUGGUGUACCAGUUGUUCUGCCAAGGGCAUAGCUGGGUAGCUAUGUGCGGAAGGGAUAAGUGCUGAAAGCAUCUAAGCAUGAAGCCCCCCUCAAGAUGAGAUUUCCCAUAGCGUAAGCUAGUAAGAUCCCUGAAAGAUGAUCAGGUUGAUAGGUUCGAGGUGGAAGCAUGGUGACAUGUGGAGCUGACGAAUACUAAUAGAUCGAGGACUUAACCA
rnacentral:rRNA from 1 species